rnacentral:rRNA from 1 species
UACAGAGGUCUCAAGCGUUGUCCGGAUUCAUUGGGCGUAAAGAGCUCGUAGGCGGCUUGGCAAGUCGGGUGUGAAACCUCCAGGCUCAACCUGGAGACGCCACCCGAUACUGCCAUGGCUAGAGUCCGGUAGGGGACCACGGAAUUCCUGGUGUAGCGGUGAAAUGCGCAGAUAUCAGGAGGAACACCGGUGGCGAAGGCGGUGGUCUGGGCCGGAACUGACGCUGAGGAGCGAAAGCGUGGGGAGCGAACAGG